rnacentral:rRNA from 1 species
AGCGAACGCUGGCGGCAGGCUUAACACAUGCAAGUCGAGCGGGCGUAGCAAUACGUCAGCGGCAGACGGGUGAGUAACGCGUGGGAACGUACCUUUUGGUUCGGAACAACACAGGGAAACUUGUGCUAAUACCGGAUAAGCCCUUACGGGGAAAGAUUUAUCGCCGAAAGAUCGGCCCGCGUCUGAUUAGCUAGUUGGUGAGGUAAUGGCUCACCAAGGCGACGAUCAGUAGCUGGUCUGAGAGGAUGAUCAGCCACAUUGGGACUGGGACACGGCCCGAACUCCUACGGGAGGCAGCAGUGGGGAAUAUUGGACAAUGGGCGCAAGCCUGAUCCAGCCAUGCCGCGUGAGUGAUGAAGGCCCUAGGGUUGUAAAGCUCUGUGUGCGGGAAGAUAAUGACGGUACCGCAAGAAUAAGCCCCGGCUAACUUCGUGCCAGCCGCCGCCGUAA